CUGAAGUUUGCUCUGAAUUCAAAUUUCAAGAAGAAGAAGACUGAAUGUCUCUGUUGUCAAAUCUCCCCGAAGGGAUUCACGACGACAUAUUUCUAUGGUUACCAGCAGAAUCGAUCUUAUCAUGUAGGUUAUGAUUGCUUCAAAAUUGAUAUUUAUACAUUGAGAAAAGAUUCAUGGACUGGUAUUCAGGGCACUGUCAAAUUCUUAUUUCGGUGUGGUAAAGGAUAUUAUGGUGUGUCUUUCAAUGGAUGUCUUCAUUGGUUGGGAAGUAUCGAAAACACUCAAGGAACCUCCUCCGAAGUUAUCUUCUCUUUUCAUAUUAGCAAUGAGAUAGUGGUGAAUAUGCCGUUACCUGAAAAUAUUAUUAUGCCACCUAUGGAUUACUCCGGAGAUGUUUAUAAAAAUGUGGCAGUGUGGGGCGACUGCAUAGGUAUAGCUUGUAUUUGGGGAUCAGUUAAAAUUGAUGUGUGGGUAAUGCAGGAAUAUGGAUGGAGUAAAAGAAUCUUGGAUCAAAAAAUAUACCACAACCCAGCUACCAUCGCCCUCAAGCGACAUUCCAUUUUGGAGGCCUCUAUGGUAUUUUGACAAUGGGGAAAUACUAGUAGAUAAUGAUCGCAGACAAUUACUUUUAUAUAACCCAACAACUGAAAAAGUUAGAUCCGUGGUGGUCCGUGAAAUUACUGUGGCCAAUAUUCGACAGAGUUAUGUGGAGAGCAUAGUCUCAGUUGGCUCUGGUACGUAUCUGGAGAAACGGAUUACAGAUGGUGUCGUGAAGAAUUCCGAGCCACAACGGUUGAGGCAGAGUAUCCCGAGCAUUCGUCGUUCCUGUCCCUUGCUGAAAUGGAGAAAGAAGUGAACCUCAUUUUAGAUACUCUUGGACUAAUGUCAUAUUUGUCCUAUUCAGAGCUUCUCCCUAGUCCUGCCACGUUUAGUGUUUGUAUAGUAAUAGCUGACAUCAAGUAUUGGUGGAUUUAGAAGAGAAAAAAGAAGGUGCAAUAGGGCGUUUACUGAAAAAAUUAGCUCAAGUAUAAUUAAUAUCCGAAGUUAUAUUCAGUUCUUCACACCUUUGAUUCGAGAUACACGUCCUGACAACUUAUUGCUGACUGUUAAUCACACUUCAGCCUAGACAUUGGAUCAGUACUAGAAAUCAGUCUUCAAAGCUUACUGUUGAUGCUUCAUGGACUUCUAAUGCAGUGCCUGCUGGUUUUGGUAUUAUCUUGGCUAAGAAAUUUCUUUUAAGUAAUUAGCCAUAGUAUCCAUCGACAGCCGAUGGUGAUCCACUGCCGCGAGAAGAAACACAGAAGUGGACCGUGAACUCUGCUACAGCCGCUGGACCAGCAGAACUAGGUUUGCUUCUUUGUUAACUCCGCAAUAGUGGUCCUACUGGUAGCCUUGAGCAGAAAACCUCGUCUGCUUCCGAAAUUUCUAAAGUGGCUGCCCACAGGACUAUCUAUUGAUGCGAAUAAUUCAUUUAUAUAGUGACAGUUAGCAUAAAGAUAUGUUACUAUAAAAUCAACUAUAUGGUGACACAUUAAAAAUGUUACAUAACAUAGUCACACAGUAGCAGUUAUUCU